GCCCGGCUAGCUCAAUCGGUAGAGCGUGAGACUCUUAUGAAGUACACGUUCUGUAUUGCAAUCUCAAGGUUGCGGGUUCGACCCCCGCGUUGGGCU
rfam:Trichoderma gamsii strain T6085 Scaffolds0027.1, whole genome shotgun sequence.